rnacentral:rRNA from 1 species
UUGAUCAUGGCUCAGGAUGAACGCUAGCGGCAGGCUUAAUACAUGCAAGUCGAGGGGCAGCAGCUUUAUAGCAAUAUAGAGGCUGGCGACCGGCAAACGGGUGCGGAACACGUACACAACCUUCCUUUAAGUGGGGGAUAGCCCAUAGAAAUGUGGAUUAAUACCCCGUAAUAUUAUUGAAGUGGCAUCACUUUAUAAUUAUAGUUUCGACGCUUGAAGAUGGGUGUGCGGCUGAUUAAGUAGUUGGCGGGGUAAAGGCCCACCAAGCCUUCGAUCAGUAGCUGAUGUGAGAGCAUGAUCAGCCACACGGGCACUGAGACACGGGCCCGACUCCUACGGGAGGCAGCAGUAAGGAAUAUUGGUCAAUGGACGCAAGUCUGAACCAGCCAUGCCGCGUGAAGGAUGAAGGUCCUCUGGAUUGUAAACUUCUUUUAUAGGGGCGAAAAAGGGAAUUCUUUCUCACUUGACAGUACCCUAUGAAUAAGCACCGGCUAACUCCGUGCCAGCAGCCGCGGUAAUACGGAGGGUGCAAGCGUUAUCCCGGAUUCACUGGGUUUAAAGGUGCGUAGGC